ACUGGGUUGUAGCUGGUCUUUAGAGACAUGUGCACACCCUUCAAUUUCAUCCAUCCCUGUGCACUUCUGUAGAUGGUGUUUCAAUGCCAUCUAUGAUUUUACACACACUUAUAAACUAUGAAUGUGAACUAGAUCCUUAGGAUCAAUACUUGUACAACUUUUAGCAAUGGAUCUCUUGGCUCUCGCAUCGAUGAAGAACGCAGCGAAUUGCGAUAUGUAAUGUGAAUUGCAGAAUUCAGUGAAUCAUCGAAUCUUUGAACGCAUCUUGCGCCCUUUGGUAUUCCGAGGGGCAUGCCUGUUUGAGUGUCAUUGACCAAUCAACUUCACAAAUUUUGUGAUGCUUUGGAUUAUGAGGGUCUGCCAGUAGUCUCUAUUGGCUCCCUUAAAAUAAAUUAGCAAGUGCUCAACACUGGCUCUAGAUUGAUAAAUGUCUAUCUGUUGCCUUUGUUGCAGUCUGCUUUAACUGUCUCCUGUAGACUGUCCUUUUGGGCAUUUUUGAUCUUGACCUCAAAUCAGGUAGGACUACCCGCUGAACUUAAGCAUAUCAAUAAGCGGAGGAAAAGAAACUAACAAGGAUUCCCCUAGUAACUGCGAGUGAAGCGGGAAGAGCUCAAAUUUAAAAUCUGGCAGUUUCACUGUCCGAGUUGUAGUCUAGAGAAGCAACAUCCGCGCCGGCCCAUGUACAAGUCUCUUUGAACAGAGCAUCAUAGAGGGUGAUAAUCCCGUCUUUGACAUGGAUUUCCGGGGCUUUUGUGAUGUGCUCUCGAUGAGU
rnacentral:rRNA from 1 species